GUCGUUAGUUGUCGCUGGCACGACAAGUGGCUGAUGUAAUAGAGUAUCAACACUGCAAAACUUUACAAAACUCUAGGCCCGUUUCAUACGCCGUACUUCACAUGUGCCGAAUACAUUAAAAACAAUAGAUAAUGAGGCAUUUCAGCUCAUUAUCUAUUGUCUUUAAUGUAUUCGGCACAUGUGAAGUACGGCGUAUGAAACGGGCCUAACACACAAAAAGACUUAUUAUAUUAGACUAUUUCACAUCUACCGCUUGUCGUGCCAGCGACAACUAACGAC